UAAUAAUGUAAUCUAAUAUAAUGGCUGUUCUGACUCCUGUCAGUGACUGAAAAAGUUAAGUUCCCCCUGCUGGUGAUUUUCAGUUACUGCGCCUUUAAGGAUCAGGCACAUUAAGUGUGCAUGCAUAAGCUGCAAGUGCUCCACCACAGAGAGUUGGUUGUCGGAGUCUUGGAGUGGAACCAACAGAAUCAGAGGAGGAGCUCUGAGUAACUCCGCAACAGAAGGAGGAAAUGAACCCGUUCAGACUCCAUUUUAGUGUCGACAGAGGAAGAAAACAAGAUAUGUAAAGAUAUCAGUAGCUGAAGGGCUGUUGGUGCAGCAGAGAACCAGGACAGGAGAAGGAAACACUGUCGGGGUGUUUGAGCAGCAACAGGAACUUGUGUGUUACGGAUACUUUUUUAUGAGCUC